rnacentral:rRNA from 1 species
CAAGGCAGACGGCUCAGUAACGCGUAGUCAAUCUACCCUAUGGACGGGAAUAACCUCGGGAAACUGAGAAUAAUGCCCGAUAGAACAUUAUGCCUGGAAUGGUUUAUGUUUCAAAUGAUUUAUCGCCAUAGGAUGGGACUGCGGCCUAUCAGUUUGUUGGUGAGGUAAUGGCCCACCAAGACUAUUACAGGUACGGGCUCUGAGAGGAGUAGCCCGGAGAUGGGUACUGAGACACGGACCCAGGCCCUAUGGGGCGCAGCAGGCGAGAAAACUUUGCAAUGUGCGAAAGCACGACAAGGUUAAUCCGAGUGGUUUCUGCUAAAGAAACCUUUUGUCAGUCCUAGAAACACUAACGAAUAAGGGGUGGGCAAGUUCUGGUGUCAGCCGCCGCGGUAAAACCAGCACCUCAAGUGGUCAGGAUGAUUAUUGGGCCUAAAGCAUCCGUAGCUCGUUUUGUAAGUUUUCGGUUAAAUCCAUGCGCUUAACGUAUGGGCUGCCGGGAAUACUGCAUAACUAGGAAGUGGGAGAGGUAGACGGUACUCGGGAGGAAGGGGUAAAAUCCUUUGAUAUCUUGAUGACCACCUGUGGCGAAGGCGGUCUACCAGAACACGUUCGACGGUGAGGGAUGAAAGCUGGGGGAGCAAACCGGAUUAGAUACCCGGGUAGUCCCAGCUGUAAACUAUGCAAACUCAGUGAUGCAUUGGCUUAUGGCCAAUGCAGUGCUGCAGGGAAGCCGUUAAGUUUGCCGCCUGGGAAGUACGUACGCAAGUAUGAAACUUAAAGGAAUUGGCGGGGGAGCACCACAAGGGGUGAAGCCUGCGGUUCAAUUGGAGUCAACGCCGGAAA